GAUGAACGCUAGCGGCAGGCCUAACACAUGCAAGUCGAGGGAGAAGCCCUUUCGGGGGCAGAAACCGGCGCACGGGUGCGUAACGCGUAUGCAACCUACCUCUCACAGGGGGAUAGCCCGAAGAACUUUGGAUUAAUACUCCAUAAUAUUAUUGGAUGGCAUCAUUUGAUAAUUAAAACUGCGGUGGUGAAGGAUGGGCAUGCGUCCUAUGAGCUAGUUGGAGUGGUAACGGCACCUCAAGGCUACGAUAGGUAGGGUUCCUGAGAGGGAGAUCCCCCACACGGGUACUGAGACAGUGACCAGACUCCUACGGGAGGCAGCAGUGAGGGAUAUUGGCGAGUGGUCGGAAGACUGAACCAGCGAAGCCGCGUGCAGGAAGAAUGCCUUAUGGGUGGUAAACUGCUUUUAUAUGGGAAGAAUAAGGCGUACGUGUACGUUGAUGACGGUACCAUAUGAAUAAGCAUCGGCUAACUCCGUG
rnacentral:rRNA from 1 species